rnacentral:rRNA from 1 species
CCUACGGGAGGCUGCAGUGGGGAAUAUUGCACAAUGGGGGAAACCCUGAUGCAGCAACGCCGCGUGAAGGAAGACGGUUUUCGGAUUGUAAACUUCUGUUCUUAGUGAAGAAUAAUGACGGUAGCUAAGGAGCAAGCCACGGCUAACUACGUGCCAGCAGCCGCGGUAAUACGCAGGUGGCAAGCGUUGUCCGGAAUUACUGGGGGUAAAGGGAGCGCAGGCGGGAAGGCAAGUCAGCUGUGAAAACUACGGGCUUAACUUGUAGACUGCAGUUGAAACUGGUUUUCUUGAGUGAAGGAGAGGUAGGCGGAAUUCGGAGUGGAGCGGUGAAAUGCGUAGAUAUUAGGAAGAACACCGGUGGCGAAGGCGGCCGACUGGGCUUUAACUGACGCUGAGGCUCGAAAGUGUGGGGAGCGAACAGGAUUAGAUACCCUGGUAGUC